AUGCCUCGCUUCCUCCGGACCACCUCCAUCCAGCUGGACGCCCAUUUACUUCGCAUCAAGCUGCCGGACGCUGAGCUCCCCGCGCUGGAGAGGCUGUCACUCUCUGGCAACAUCGUUGACCUUGCAGCCUUUCUCGACCGCUGCCUGCGGUUGCGGGUGCUGAGGGUCACCUACCGUGAGGUCGAGCCCAGCUUGCUCGAAGCGGCCCUUGUCGCGCUCGAGGUUCCUGUGGAGCUUGGCCUUAUUGUGUCCCUCCUCGGCAUCGAGUUCGGCCACGCUCAUGGGAACUACGAUGUUGAAGACGCUCAGUUUGCACCCAUUCUCCAUGCCGCGGCGAGGCUCUCCCCGCGGGAGCUUGUCUUCAUCAACAACUUCCGCAGAUGCCUUAGUGCCGACCUGCCCUGCUUCCGUAAUGCCACAUCGAUUGCGAUGACGUUGCGGUUUGUCUGUUUCACACGACUAAUGUCGGCUGACCGGUUCUCGGCACUUGAGAGGUUGUCUCUCGUGGGUUGCACCGUCCUCGACCUUGCCACCACAGUCAACCGAUGCCCAUGUCUGCGUGUGCUUAUGGUGAAAGCUCAUAGGUCUGCACAUGAUGUUACAGUGCGCUCUGUGUCGCUGCAAGCGCUUGAGCUUGGUGUCCACGAAACGGAAUGUAAGGGCAUCAAGAUCGCGACUCCGAUACUUGAGCAACUGAAGUUUAGUGUUCAUGCAAGCUCGGACCUCAGCGUCUCUGUCUCGGCGCCAAUGUUGGAGAAGGUUUCUUCAGAAAAUGGAGGUCGACACGAUAGAGGACUACAAAUAUAA
rnacentral:rRNA from 1 species